rnacentral:pre_miRNA from 1 species
ACUGGGGGGGGGGUCCCUCAGCCUGGAUUACAAGAGGGUGCAGGCCAGGCCAAGGGGCCCCACUGGUGCACA